AUUUUUAGCAUCAGAAUUUUAAAAUUGAAUGGCGAUUGUCGGUAUGGUCGCUUUUUCACAAAAAAAUUGGUUACCAACAAGCGAAGUGACUAGACCGAACACUCGUGCUAUAAUUUUAAAAUGUUCAUCAAGCUAAAGU
rnacentral:pre_miRNA from 15 species